GGUCGUAUUCUAAAUAAUAGUGCAAGGUACUUUGAGUAAAUGGUCUGCAAAUCAGUGCAUCUGGAGUGCUAGGAUGUGUGGGGACAAAAAGAUGCCAUUGCAUAGGCCCGUUGGCAGAGAAAUCAAAGGUUGGGAAUACCACGCUUUACCAGGCGUUGUCGGCAAUGAUUGAUGAGAUAAUUGGUUUAGCUGCUUUCGGAAGAGGCGACGGGAAUCAUAAAAACCACGAUGGCUAUGGAGAUUCAACAUAUAGAAAGAUGGAAGAGUCUAUAAUUCGUUUUCCUGCCAACAAGCAUCACAAGUAAUAUCGAGAGCGAGCAGUUGCAGAUGAGAGGGAGACGAGCGUGGGUGGAGGUCA